GACAGAGGUGGCUAGCGUUGUUCGGAUUUAUUGGGCGUAAAGCGCACGCAGGCGGUUUGGUAAGUCAGAGGUGAAAUUCCGCAGCUUAACUGCGGAACUGCCUUUGAUACUGCCUUUCUCGAGUGCAUGAGGGGGAAGCGGAAUUCCGGGUGUAGAGGUGAAAUUCGUAGAUAUCCGGAGGAACACCGGUGGCGAAGGCGGCUUCCUGGCAUGUAACUGACGCUCAGGUGCGAAAGCGUGGGUAGCAAAC
rnacentral:rRNA from 1 species